CCCCUCUCAGGGUCACACCUGGAGAGUUUCCAGUACCCUUCCAGCCUUGACUAUGGGAGGGAGAGUCAAGCAGAGAACUACCCAUUCCAAUCGUAGCUUUGGCAGUGGCUAGUGAGUGGAAGGCAAUCUGCUCCAAGG